UACGGAGGAUGCAAGCGUUAUCCGGAUUUAUUGGGUUUAAAGGGUGCGCAGGUUGUUUGAUAAGUCAGUGGUGAAAGUCUGUCGCUUAACGGUAGGAUUGCCAUUGAUACUGUUAGACUUGAAUAUGGAUGAGGUAGGCGGAAUGUGUAGUGUAGCGGUGAAAUGCAUAGAUAUUACACAGAACACCGAUUGCGAAGGCAGCUUACUAAUCCAUCAUUGACGCUGAGGCACGAAAGCGUGGGGAUCAAACAGGA
rnacentral:rRNA from 1 species